rnacentral:rRNA from 1 species
GACGAACGCUGGCGGCGCGCUUAAUGCAUGCAAGUCGAGCGGUGUUCUACCCGCAAGGGUGGAGCGCAGCGGCAGACGGCUGAGUAAUGCGUGAGUGACCUGCCCGGGCGUGGAAUAAUCCGUCGAAAGGCGGACUAAUGCCGCGUACGCCCGGCGUCUCAGCAGACGCCGAGGAAAGGAGCGCCGUAAGGCGCCUCCGCUCUGGGAGGGGCUCACGCCUAUCAGGUAGUCGGCGGGGUAACGGCCCACCGAGCCUAAGACGGUAGCCGAAGUGAGAGCUUGUACGGCC